CAGCACCUCAAGUGGUCAGGAUGAUUAUUGGGCCUAAAGCAUCCGUAGCUUGCUUUGUAAGUUCUCGGUUAAAUCCAUGCGCUUAACGUAUGGGCUGCCGGCAAUACUGCAAAGCUAGGGAGUGGGAGAGGUAGACGGUACUCGGUAGGAAGGGGUAAAAUCCUUUGAUCUAUUGAUGACCACCUGUGGCGAAGGCGGUCUACCAGAACACGUCCGACGGUGAGGGAUGAAAGCUGGGGGAGCAAACCGGAUUAGAUACCCGAGUAGUCC
rnacentral:rRNA from 1 species